rnacentral:rRNA from 1 species
UACGAAGGGGGCUAGCGUUGCUCGGAAUCACUGGGCGUAAAGGGUGCGUAGGCGGGUCUUUAAGUCAGGGGUGAAAUCCUGGAGCUCAACUCCAGAACUGCCUUUGAUACUGGCGAUCUUGAGUCCGGGAGAGGUGAGUGGAACUGCGAGUGUAGAGGUGAAAUUCGUAGAUAUUCGCAAGAACACCAGUGGCGAAGGCGGCUCACUGGCCCGGUACUGACGCUGAGACGCGAAAGCGUGGGGAGCAAACAGG